ACUGCUGAUGUUAUUUUUUUAGGGUUUAUUAACCAACAGCGGCAAUGGGUGUGAAGGGUCUCCAGGGGUUCGUGGAUCACGCCUGUCCACAAACGAGCGUGUGGGUGGAUUUGAAGGAGAUGGCAGAGCAGUACCGGCAUUCCCAUCCUGGACAUUCUCCUGUUGUGGUGGUGGAUGCAAUGGCAUGUCUCCGGUACUGGUACACCCCAGAGGCCUGGGUGCAUGGCGGGCAGUGGCGCGAGUACUUGCAGAGCCUCAACACCUUUGUGAGUUCGUUUUUAGCCAUUGACAUCAGGCUGGUGUUUUUCUUUGAUGGGGUGAUAGAACAGAAGAAAAGGGAUGAAUGGGUCAAGCGGCGGCUGAGGAACAACAGAGAAAUAGCAAAAAUCUUUCAGUAUAUUAAAGCAAAGACCUGCCAACCAGCAAGAGACAUGUUCUUCAUUCCCUCUGGGCUGGCUACAUUCACUCGCUUUGCCUUGAAAUCCAUGGGCUUAAACACCAUGUGUUCCCUGCAGGAGGCAGAUUAUGAAGUUGCCAGCUAUGCCACGUUAAAUGGUUGUAUGGCAAUCCUGGGUCAGGACACUGAUUACCUCAUUUACGACACUGUGCCAUAUCUCUCAGUUAGCAAGCUGCGACUAGACAAGUUGACGACUGUCAUGUACUCUCGAGAAAAGCUCUGCCACACUCUCAGCCUGCAGCAGACAGACCUGCCACUUUUGGCCUGUCUUCUUGGCAACGAUGUGGUGCCAGAAAAGGCAGUGGAACAACUGAAGCGCCAAUGCUUGGCUAGAUAUACACCAAGUGACUCAAGAGUGAGACAGAAGAAGGAGGUGGUCGCGGCAAUGGCACGUUACAUCUCCGGUGUUUCCCAUUCGCACGACGGUUUGAGGGAGGUGGAAAGAAAUCUGCAACACGCUUCACCUGGAAGUUUGCUGGAGAUGGGUGUGAGAUCCUAUUUACUGCCUGGUCAGUGCUCGCCCUGGCUUCCUCACAACAAAACAUCUCCAGUGGCAGGUCAACGUGAAAAUGCCACCUACCAAGACCAAAAGAUUUUGGAGGUUGCAAGGGAGCAGCAUAUCAAAGCAGAAAGCUACACAGUUUACAAUGUCCUGAAUGCUGGGGAGGUAGAGUGCAGCAACACUCUGGAGGAUGAGUUAGAUACUGAACUUCCUGGUCAAGCCAUCGUUUACCGUCCUGCUCGACAGUCCAUUUAUGGCAUUCUUCUAGCAACUGAACUAAAUGGUCAACCUGAAGCUGCCAAACUGUGCUCCACAGUAAAGGAGUGGUUUGUAUAUCCGGGUAACACGCUCCAGCAGCCAGAUCUUGUGCCAGCUUUACCACCAGAGCUACCAGGAGGAACUCCAGCCCUACGAACCUUGUGGCUGACAGAAGGGCCGGAGGUUAAGAAGUUACGUUACUGCACAUUUCUUGCAUGUUUUGGCUUACAAGAUUUUGCUGAGGAGUUUCUUCCUCUAGAACUUCCCACUGCUGCUGCUGCUUGCUGCCUGCUGACCUAUGUUACGCUGCAGGUAAGCACAAUCUGUCGGGAGGAUCUGGAUGCAUAUUUAGCUCAGGCUGUCUGUAUCCAGGACAAGCCAGCUGACCACCUCGCUCAGAUACAGGUGCCCUGUGUUGACUCUCGGGCUGUGCACCUGGCCUCUCUCUUUGUUCGGGGCCUGUCCGUGCUCGUUUCAGCUAAUAGUGCCUGUGGGUUUCCAUUUAAAAUGGUCGACCUGAUGCCGUGGGAGGUGUUUGAUGGGAAGCUUUUCCACACAAAGUACCUGCAGUCUCACAGUGGCUGUACAAUGGAGGACCUUCUAGAAAAGAAUGAUGUUCUACUACAGGAAUUUCAGAAGCUGAAGUCCCUCAUCAACAGUAUUUGUGUGAGGAAGAAUAGAAAUGUACAGAGCAGCCCCCAGCCACUUGUAACAGAGAACUGUGAAAGGCCUGGUCCCCAUGGUAGAGGAGGCAGUCAUCACUUGGCCCAUCAUGAGCAACAGCCACAUGAUUAUCCUCCAUAUCUCAGCCAUCGCCAGAGUUAUCAGGGAAGAUAUCCACAGCCUGGUCCUACCAAUGUAGCACAAACAGGUUCUGGUCAUGGAUUGAAACCUUGGGCUUGAGAUGGAGCUUUCUUGGAGCAGGCCAGUACAUUACCUCAUGUUUCAUCGCGCUGAUCGUAAGGCCGAAGUUGUCACCUGCAUUGGAAAACAAGUCCAUGUUACAUUGCAUGUCCGGCUCUGAACCGGCAGCUGGUGCAUCAUCAUCAGCAAACCGGAAACCGUGAAGCAGGUCCUCGGAGACCUUAGUCUUUGCCUAGAAUCACCUCAGAUUGAGCAGCUUCCCAUCCAUGCGAUAUCUGAUUUUGAUGCCAGGAUCACCAUCACUGAAAGUAUUGGAGAGCAUGGUGGAGGAAAACAUUCUGAAGAGGAUUGGUGCUAGCACGCAGCGCUGUUUAACAGGAAUGGGCCAGAAGACUCACCAUCAUCCAGGACAUGCGUGAGUGUGCUGUCAUGGAGCUGCUGAACAUUGUGAUGACCUCCCAAAGGCCCUUUUCCCUGACUGUGUCAAAGGCCUUGGUCAGGUCAACAAACAUGGUGUAGAGGCCCAUGUUCUGUUCUUGACAUUUCUCAUGGAGCUGUCUGACUGCAAACACCAUAUCAGUGAUUCUUCAGCCUUUCCUGAAACCACACUGACUCUCUGGCAGCAGAUCCUGGUCAAGAUGUUGCACUAAGCAGCUCAAGUGGUUUCUGGCGAAGAUUGUGCCAGCAAUGGAGAGGUGGAAGGCGUCUUUAUAAUUGUUGCAAGAUUGGCGAGUUCCUUUCCGCUUGUACGUCCUGUUUGCGGGAUGGUUCUUUGCUCUCACGUAGUCUGAAAGAGUUCGCCAGCAAACAUUGACAAGUUCAGGCUGAAUUCCAGCCAUUUAGAUACUUAGAGUCAUAGAGGUCUACAGCGCAGAAAAAGGCCCUUCGGCCCAUCGAGUGCACCAGUCAAACAAGUACCUAACUAUUCUAAUCCCAUUUUCCAGCACUAGAAACCUUGAAACCUUAUGGAUUGUUUCCCAAAAAUCUACAUUAACUAAAUCUACUGUAUUUUCUUUGUUUAUCCAAUGUUGUCAUGUCUGCAUUUUUUUAAAAAAUUAUUAAACAUGACUUGCCUUUAA